rnacentral:rRNA from 1 species
UAACGCGUGGGAAUCUGCCCUGGAGUGUGGGAUAACCCGGCGAAAGCCGGGCUAAUACCGCAUACGACCUGAGGGUGAAAGAUUUAUCGCUCUAGGAGGGGCCCGCGUCGGAUUAGCUAGUUGGUGAGGUAACGGCCUACCAAGGCGAUGAUCCGUAGCUGGUCUGAGAGGAUGAUCAGCCGCACUGGGACUGAGACACGGCCCAGACUCCUACGGGAGGCAGCAGUGGGGAAUAUUGGACAAUGGGCGAAAGCCUGAUCCAGCAAUGCCGCGUGAGUGAUGAAGGCCUUAGGGUUGU